rnacentral:rRNA from 1 species
UACGUAGGGCGCAAGCGUUGUCCGGAAUUAUUGGGCGUAAAGAGCUCGUAGGCGGUCUGUUGCGUCUGCUGUGAAAACCCGGGGCUUAACCCCUGGCUUGCAGUGGAUACGGACAGACUAGAGGUAGGUAGGGGAGAAUGGAAUUCCCGGUGUAGCGGUGAAAUGCGCAGAUAUCGGGAGGAACACCGGUGGCGAAGGCGGUUCUCUGGGCCUUACCUGACGCUGAGGAGCGAAAGCGUGGGGAGCAAACAGG